rnacentral:rRNA from 1 species
AUCUAUGGCCAUAUCACCCUGGCAACUCCUGAUCUUGUCUGAUUUUGGAAGCUAAGCAGGAUCAGGCCUGGAUAAUACUCGGAUGGAGAGACAUCCAGGGAAUACUAGUUGCUGUAGGCA